rnacentral:rRNA from 1 species
GNAAUUACUAACACAGGCCAGUUUAAGUAUCNAACAUCGGUGUCCGGUUGGUUUUAUAGAUCUCAACACCUGGUCCGCUUCGUUUUACAGCCUAACACAUGCAAGUCGAGCGGAUGACGGGAGCUUGCUCCUGAUUCAGCGGCGGACGGGUGAGUAAUGCCUAGGAAUCUGACUCCUGAGAUAAGUGAGAGAGAGAAUCCAACGUUUUCGAAAAGGAAAUCGAUCUAAAUAACUCGAUCAUAAUCGAUUACUCUAACGGAGAAGAAAAGUCAGGGAGGAACCUAUUCGGGAUCCCUUAUGUCGUCUAUACCAGAAUAGAGUCCUUAAGAGAGUUACCGACGGACAAAUAUAAAGGCCCUUAUACGNUUAUUAGAGGUAUUAUGAAAGGGGAUAUAAAANUUAGAGGGNCUUUACAAUCCCUCCAAAAAAGGAGGNUCGGGAAAUCCGGAAAUAUUCCUCCGGGUUAAAAAAUCCUUUGGGGUUUAUCCCUUNGGGAAAAGCGAAAGGGUGGAAACUUAUGGAAAUUUCCAAAGGGUGUUUUCCAAUCCCAAAUCCUUUAUGGGNGGAAAGAACUCCCUUNAGGAAAGGGAAAACCCACUCCCAGGGAGAGUGUACCUCCCANCAAAUNGAGGAAAAAUCCCUUUNUCCCCCCCGUUUAAAAAACCCCAGGAGAGGGGAGCGCAAACCGGCGGGGGCCCCCACAGGGCCCGAACGGUUCUAAGGACGGGCGGCGUAGAGACAACCAACCUUUUCACACAUUUUAUNUUAGGGGAGGGGAAAGCAUCCCAACAAGAAAAUNUUUAGGGAGGGGCAGGCGGCCCCUGGGGGAAANACAACACACGAAGNGGGGCCCCUCCCCUUAUGAGGUGAAAAAAGUUAUCCCCUCCCCAAAGAGGGGGCCUCCCCACACAAUUUAUAGGAGCCCUCCCCCUGUGGAG